CAAUUCUUCUGGGGCUUUAAAGCACUGAAAGUAUUUAAGAAAUACAAAUAUACUGCAGACAUAUACUACAUGCAUUUUAUAGCACAGUUUUAAUACACUGAAGAGCACCUUUUUUCAACCUGGGCAAUAUUUAUUUUAUUUGUAUUCUAGAUUCCUCUUGCAGUCUGCAUUCUAAAUAUCUCUCUUUUCCUAUGACCUUCCAUCUGUCUGUGUUUCUGUCUUGUCCACCCCCUCCCCUUCAGCUCCCCCUGAUGUUACCCAGGUGAAUGUGGCAACCCGCUCUGAGACUCACAUAGAGCUAGAGUGGACCAAAGUCAACAACAUCAAGACUUACAUACUGAAAUCAUUCGAUGGAUCAGAAACCCCCAUCACUGGAUUAGAUGGGAACAAAGUGACACACAGAGUGUCAUCUCUCUCUGCUGGAAUUGAAUACUCAUUCAUUCUCUUCACGGUGUUUGAGGAAGUGAGAAGCACAGGAUAUAUCUUCUCAGCAGUUACAGGUAUGUCUCUUUUUUUAUUGCGAAAUUUCAAAGAGUUUUUCUCCGCAACACUUGAAAACCUGUGUCAGCUAGCUCUUAAUAAAUGACACUAAUGUAUAUCUAGCAUGUCGCGAACAACAUUUUAUUAGAUUACUCAUACUCUACAUUCAAACGCUUGGAAAACAAUGUAUAUGGGCUGAAAAAGCAAACAGUAUUUCAGCUAAAUAAAAAUGUGUCUUUUUUUCUUAUUCUUUGGUUAUGUUAGCGUUCAUCUUCGAUGUCACAAUAAAUUAAACUAUUUUUAAAAUAGUCAUAUUUUUGUAAAUAAAAUUGAGCUCACUAGAAAAAAUACCAAUUCUUCUGGAAUGGGGCUUUAAAGCACUAAAAGUAUUUAAGAAAUACAAAUAUACUGCAUACAUAUACUCCGUGCAUUUUAUAGCAUAGUUUUAAUACACUGAAGAGCACCUUUUUUCAACCUGGGCAAUAUUUAUUGUAUUUGUAUUCUAGAUUCCUCUUUCAGUCUGCAUUCUAAAUGUAUAUCUCUCUUUUCCUAUGACCUUCCACCUGUCUGUGUUUCUGUCUUGUCCACCCCCUCCCCUUCAGCUCCCCCUGAUGUUACCGAGGUGAAUGUGGCAACCCGCUCUGAGACUCACAUAGAGCUAGAGUGGACCAAAGUCAACAACAUCAAGACUUACAUACUGAAAUCAUUCGAUGGAUCAGAAACCCCCAUCACUGGAUUAGAUGGGAACAAAGUGACACACAGAGUGUCAUCUCUCUCUGCUGGAACUGAAUACUCAUUCACUCUCUUCACGGUGUUUGAGGAAGUGAGAAGCACAGGAUAUAUCUUCUCAGCAGUUACAGCUCCCCCUGAUGUUACCCAGGUGAAUGUGGCAACCCGCUCUGAGACUCACAUAGAGCUAGAGUGGACCAAAGUCAACAACAUCAAGACUUACAUACUGAAAUCAUUCGAUGGAUCAGAAACCCCCAUCACUGGAUUAGAUGGGAACAAAGUGACACACAGAGUGUCAUCUCUCUCUGCUGGAACUGAAUACUCAUUCACUCUCUUCACGGUGUUUGAGGAAGUGAGAAGCACAGGAUAUAUCUUCUCAGCAGUUACAGUUCCCCCUGCUGUUACCGAGGUGAAUGUGACAACCCACUCUGGGACUCACAUAGAGCUAGAGUGGACCAAAGUCAACAACAUCAAGACUUACAUACUGAGAUAUAGCAAUGGAACAGAAACCCCCAUCACUGGACCAGAUGGGAACAAAGUGACACACAGAGUGUCAUCUCUCUCUGCUGAAACUAAAUACUCAUUCACUCUCUUCACGGUGUUUGAGGAAGUGAGAAGCACAGGAUAUAUCUUUAUAGCAGUUACAGGUCCACUGGUGUGUAAUGUGUCCAAUGGUGGGGAGCUGCAAGAUGGAGUCUGUAUCUGCCCAGAUGAGUGGAGUGGUGACACUUGCUCCAUCGGUCAGUCUGCUUAUGGGCAUGUCUCACAGGCACAACAAAGUCAAUUUAAAAGCUCAAUCUGCUAAUCCAAUACUAUGUCAAAUUCAGCUCAAUUCAGUGUUCGAUAUGGUCCUCUAGCUGUCUAUUCAUUGUGUGCACUCAACAAGCCUCUCAGGUGUUCGCACACAGUCCUGGCUCUAUAAAUGGGAAACAAACAUAGAAGCUCGGACCAAGCCAUUAACGAUUCCAGCCAACAAUUUGCUUCAGGAACACAGAAGGGAGGGCUGUAAUUUUAUUGGCUGUUGAACUCAAAUAUGAACAACCUUUCACCAGAAUUGC
rnacentral:lncRNA from 1 species